UGGGGCUGCGAGGCGCGCAGGGUGGUGGAGCAGGGGACGAAGAGGGAAGAUGCAAAUAAAAAAUAGGUGUAUUCAGACUCUCUAGGAAGAAGACUUCAGAUCCACACGCUAUCAAGUCAAGGAAAAUCUGCUAUGUCAGAGACGGGGAACAGGGCAAACCAUAGUCAUCCCUAGGAGGAACUUCUGGACCUGUGCAUAUUGUUUGAACCACCGCAGAAGGGAGACAUGUACAAGGAAGACCUGGCAACUUUCCUCAGCAAGAA
ensembl:lncRNA